AGUGAAGAUUAUAUAUGGUAGAGCUCAAGU
rnacentral:piRNA from 1 species